GUGUCAAACACUGUUGGAUCCACCUGAGAUUUAUUUUCCUUUUAUUUUCAGUGUAUAAUCUUCAGCAGUCCUUUUCAACUGCAGCCCAUUGGGCCAAAGUGUGUUUGGGUUCUGAGGGUUCUGCUUCCCCCCCCAACACAAUAGAGGUAUUUAUCUCAAUAUACAGUACAGACAAAUCCAACAACAACUCUUUCUGGGACACUUUACAUCCCUUAAGUCCCUGUUACUAUAAUCAACCAAUUGCAGACUACUUUUAUUUUCUGAAUCUGAAUAAUGCUUUAGAAAGUUUCUCCAAAUGGUCUUUAGAGUGAAUAUCCUUUCACAGCCAAUGUCUCAUCCAUCUAUCAGUUUAUCAAAUGAGUAAAACCAGAGGUGGGAAGUAACAAAGUACAAAUAUUUCAUUACUGUACUUAAGUAGAUUUUUCA
rnacentral:misc_RNA from 1 species